CUUGAAAUUAAGAAACUGAAUUUGAUAAUUAAAUCAAAAUAAUUAAAAUCACAAAGAAUCAACAGCAUCAAUGCCCGACAUGCGACCAUAAGUUUCUUAGUGAACAUGAAUUGAAAAGACACAUGCAAACUCAUAGAGGCGAAAGGCCGUUUCGUUGCAAUUUGUGCGGAAAAAUCUUUCCAUUGAAGUAUCGUUUGAGAGAGCAUAUGAAAGUGCACUCGGAAGAAAGACCAUUCAAGUGCAAUUACAAUAGCUGUGAAGAAAGCUUUAAACGAAAAUGCAACUUGGAACAACACAUGUACACAGCGCAUUCCGAUGAGAUUUUAUCUAAAAUUUCACAAAACGACCCGAAGAUAAUGAGACGUAAAUGUAACUUCUGCUUAAAAGUUUGUCAGUCUCCUUCUACUUUAAAACUUCACUUAAGAACUCACACCAGAGAACGGCCAUUUACGUGUAAUUUUUGCAACGGCACUUUCACUUACAAAAGUAAUUUAAACAGACACAUCAGAAAGUUCCAUCCGAAAGAGAAAACUCCAUCUUGUUCCGAAAAACAGAUAAGAAAUCUCCGGAAAAUAAAAAAUUCUCGAAUAAAAGGUGAUGAUAGAAUUAUUAAGUGUCUGUAUAUGCACCUAGUAGUGACAACAAAUUAAUCGACAGAACCUUGUUAAACGAAUGACUGAAGACAACGUCUGUUCUUAAUAAUGCUGUAUCAGAUGUUCGCACUGAAUAUUAGCUAUACGUAAUAAUUGAAUCACUUGAUAAACAUCAAAGUUAAUUACAAAGACCCAACGAAUAUAUUUAAGAAAAAGCAUUGAAAAUGAACAGCCCGAUGUGAUUAUCCCUGAUUCGUCAAUCCAAGUACAGCUUAGUGCAAAAAUGAUCAGUUUUUCUACAACCAAAAACACGAAAAAAAAUGACGAGAAAAGCAAUGGCAAGAAAGACAGAACGAAGAAGUGCAAGCCGCCAACACACUGCUAUUACUAAGAGAAGGAGGAUUGAGGAGAAGAACAUCGGAAAUGUUUGAGCCUGACAAACUGCCCUUUCAUUCAGAUAAACCUUCCUCCAAGUAAUAAUUGAUAAAUAAAUGAAGUAAAGACGUACUAAUCAGAAGAUUCACCGAAAAAUUUCAAACUGCAUUUUUUUAACCAAAUUUUCGAAAUAAUUUAUAUCACUUGAGCUUAAGAUAAAUGUUUAAAUUAUUAAAAACUUCCGAUGAGAUUUUAAUCAAUA